rnacentral:misc_RNA from 1 species
UCUCCGUAGGUGAACCUGCGGAGGGAUCAUUACUGAGUGAGGGCCUUCGGGCUCGACCUCCAAACCUUUGUGAACCAAACUUGUUGCUUCGGGGGCUACCCUGCCGCUUCGGCGGUGCGGCGCCCCCGGAGGCCAUUAAACACUGCAUCAUUGCGUCGGAGUUAAAGUAAAUUAAACAAAACUUUCACCACCGGAUCUCUUGGUUCCAGCAUCGAUGAAGAACGCAGC